GACUUUGGGACUUUAAAAACUUGUCAACUCUUGCUGGCAUAUUGCUUAUUAGACGGACCAUGGGCUAUCAUUUUCUUUCUUUUCUCUUUUUUUAAGUGGAUACCAAGGUACCCCUAAUUCUACUGCCGGACACUUGUCCAUUUUUUUCUGCGAGGUUAUCGAGCACUUGCUCCUUUUUAUUUCCUCGUAAUAUCUUUAUUUUUGCAUAGCCCAUGCCUCUAAUGCAAUAUUACUUCGGAAGAGUGAAUCUUUCUGAAUAAAUGUCUUGAUCUUAGGAGCAUGAUAAAUCUCUCACAAGGGUCUAACUCAUUUUGAACAAACUCAAUAUAGAGUAGAUAGCUUUUAUAAUCAUAAUUAAUAUUUUUAGUUUUAUCAGGCAUAUAAAACACUGAGGAUGGUAGCUAGAAUUUUAAAGAUUUUGAAAUAAAUUCUCAAAGCAACAAUGAUAUCAAGAAUAAGAAACUCAUACUCUUCCAUUCCACAAUGACUUAAGUAACACAUGGUUUUAAAAUGAUUUUCAAUAAUUUGUAGUUUCUAGGAAAUAUCACAGAGUGAGAUUAAUCAUGAUUAGAAACAUUUUAAUCUUUUUAAUUUAUCAUGUCAGAAACAAUAUUCUGCAUAAUCCAAGAUAUGUGUAUGUGUAAAGUGUGCAGAGUGUGUACCUGAAUCAUGGAGUGGUGUAGUCAAAGUGUGUUUGGCAUGUCGAGGGAUCUCCCCCAUACUUGUUUUCUGCUUUCUUGCACAAAAGUAAAGUAGAGACAUAUAAUAAUAAUAAUAAUAAUAAUAAUAAUAAUAAUAAUAAUAAUAAUAAUAAUAAUAAUAAUAAUAAUAAUAAUAAUAAUAAUAAUAAUAAUAAUAAUAAUAAUAAUAUUCUUUAUUAAUCUUGAGGCAUUUAUUACAAACCACUAGUAGCAAACUAACGAUAAUAGUAACAAACUGA
rnacentral:lncRNA from 1 species